AUUCGUAGUGACCUGCGGAGGAUCAUUACCGAGUGAGGGCCCUCUGGGUCCAACCUCCCACCCGUGUUUAUUUUACCUUGUUGCUUCGGCGGGCCCGCCUUAACUGGCCGCCGGGGGGCUUACGCCCCCGGGCCCGCGCCCGCCGAAGACACCCUCGAACUCUGUCUGAAGAUUGUAGUCUGAGUGAAAAUAUAAAUUAUUUAAAACUUUCAACAACGGAUCUCUUGGUUCCGGCAUCGAUGAAGAACGCAGCGAAAUGCGAUACGUAAUGUGAAUUGCAAAUUCAGUGAAUCAUCGAGUCUUUGAACGCACAUUGCGCCCCCUGGUAUUCCGGGGGGCAUGCCUGUCCGAGCGUCAUUGCUGCCCUCAAGCACGGCUUGUGUGUUGGGCCCCGUCCUCCGAUCCCGGGGGACGGGCCCGAAAGGCAGCGGCGGCACCGCGUCCGGUCCUCGAGCGUAUGGGGCUUUGUCACCCGCUCUGUAGGCCCGGCCGGCGCUUGCCGAUCAACCCGAAUUUUUAUCCAGGUUGACCUCGGAUCAGGUAGGGAUACCCGCUGAACUUAAGCAUAUCAAAG
rnacentral:rRNA from 1 species